AGCGUAGGCGGUCUUUUAGGUUAGAUGUGAAAUACCCGGGGCUUAACUUGGGAGGUGCAUCUAAAAACUGGGGGGACUUGAGUGCAGGAGAGGAAAGUGGAAUUCCUAGUGUAGCGGUGAAAUGCGUAGAUAUUAGGAGGAACACCAGUGGCGAAGGCGACUUUCUGGACUGUAACUGGCGCUGAGGCUCGAAAGCGUGGGGAGCAAACAGGAUUAGAUACCCUGGUAGUCCACGCUGUAAACGAUGAAUACUAGGUGUAGGGGGUAUCAACUCCCUCUGUGCCGCAGCUAACGCAAUAAGUAUUCCGCCUGGGGAGUACGGCCGCAAGGUUGAA
rnacentral:rRNA from 1 species